rnacentral:rRNA from 1 species
UACGUAGGGUGCGAGCGUUAAUCGGAAUUACUGGGCGUAAAGCGUGCGCAGGCGGUUCGUUGUGUCGGUGGUGAAAGCCCCGGGCUUAACCUGGGAAUGGCCAUGGAAACUGGCGAACUGGAGUGUGGCAGAGGGGGGUGGAAUUCCGCGUGUAGCAGUGAAAUGCGUAGAGAUGCGGAGGAACACCGAUGGCGAAGGCAGCCCCCUGGGCUAGCACUGACGCUCAGGCACGAGAGCGUGGGGAGCAAACAGG